GACAGGGGUUACACCCAGCCCUGACAGGGAGCCGGGCAGUGCAGCACAGAGGGCUGAGCAGAGAAGCACACAGCAUGUGCAGGAGCAUCAGGAGAGGCAGAGCAGAGCUGGUGAUGCAUUCUGUGCUCCUCUGAGGGCUUCAUCUCAAGCUUCCAACCAGAACACCCACACAGUUGUCUUCAGGAGGACAAACAGGACAACCAGUCACAGAUACACUUCCACAAAACACUGCCACAUUGAACUCUCUCAGUGUAAGAGGAGCUGUGAGGUGCUAACACCAGAAAAGAAGAGAGCAUCUGAUUUGGGACAGAAAAGGCACAACUUCAGAACAGCUCAGAGGCAGAGCAAAAGCCUUAAAAGCUGCAGAACUGUGCAAUCAGAGAACUCGGUUUAAGAAGCUACAGAAAGAAGAUAGCAUCAGCAACACAGCUCCACAAACAAAAAUAAGAUUCUCAACAGGAACAGAGUGAAAAAGUGAAGUUAAUUGAGAACCAUACUUGGAGGGACAGAGAAAGAAAAAACACAGCAGUAAGCCAGUAGAAAGAAAAAUAUCUCUGGGAGGACCAGGCAGCAGUGGAGGAGAACAAGAUCUGGUUUCUAGAAACAUUGCUGAAUCUGUUAGGAUGAAGAGAGCUGAGGAAUCUGAAAGUGUUCUCAGGUUUCCUUUCAUGUAUAAUGCUGGAGAUAUUUCAUAACUCACCUGACCAUACUGUUACUGCAUGCCAGAACUGUUCAUGCUUUAAGGAUGACCUUCUGAAUGUCAGCCCUCAUGAAGAUACAGAUAUUCGACCAGCUGUGAACUCUGAGUAGCUGAGGUGAUUGGUGAAGCAGAGGACUGCACCCUGCUAGCCCUUGAGAAAAAGCAGCUCUCCUCUGCCAACAGCUUUCUUUGUUACAUCUUGACUUUGCGCUCUUGGAUCUAGUUGACCCUUGACAGAUCCUCUGCAUGGCCUGUGUUCCUGGGAUUUGAUUUGUGGUGGAGUACAGCAAUAAUGAAUGUGAUACAAAAAGUUA